rnacentral:lncRNA from 1 species
CCCACCACCGAUUGACCAAACCAUCCGCUAACACCACCAUCUCCCACACAACCGAUCGACCACCAAACCACCGUCUCCCACCACCCCUUCAACCUGCACCACUCGGCUAACACCACCGUCUCCCCACCACUGAUCGACCAUCCCUGCAACCUGCACCAUCCGGCUAACACCACCGCACCAUCCACCACACCUAACUCUUUUUUGAAAUGGUUUCGUUGGCCGUCAACGGUAAAUAUAUUCGAUUUUACUUACACUUGACUUGAUCUUGGUUAGUGUAGUUACUUGUCAAUUGAAAUCGGUAAUUAUGUGUAAAUGGUUUUGUAAUUAUUGGUAGAAAUAACAUCUAAUUAUGACAAAUAUGUAGUAGGUUAUGCUUAGGUUUGUUUUGGUAUGCUUUUGUAAAAAUAACAUAAUGAUAUCAAAAUUUGUUCUUGAAAUUCCCACGGGGAAGAUCUUUCAUACAUAUGCUUUUUCAUUACAUUGGUUUAGUUGCUCCAUGUUGCAACUUUAUCGGCUUAUAUGAAGAUCUCAAAUGACUUGUAAAUUUUAUGCAUAUCAAAUGUUUGAUGAAAUGCCUUAUGAGUUGGGGUUAAUUAUGACCAAUAGUUGCUAAUUAUUUUGCAUAGUUUUAAAAGUGAAAGCAAUUUAGAUUAUCUGUGACGGUUGCAAAGAGGGCGACGAUGGUGGUAGCAACGACGUAGGUGGUUGUGGUGGUCAGUGAGUCGAGUUGUUGGUGGUAAUGGUAAGUUUUAGCCAAGGUUUUCCCAUACUUUUUUUAUUUUAUUUCCACAAUGCAUUAACCUGUGUGGAUUCAUAGCAUGACCCCCGUUCAAGAUUUACGGGGGUCUCACUGGAACCAGGCUCUCUAUUUCUAUGAGGUUGAGGUAAUCCCAGUCUCGUUUUUAUUGCAAGUCAUGGGUUAGGGGUGAACGGGAGGCCGUUGGUGAUUAUUGCCACCGCUCGCCAGGCGAUUGCCAGCACGUGGGACCGGGACCUGGUGGAGGAUUGGUUUCCAGCCGUGGGUGACAAUGGGUGCCACACGGAGCCUCGGCCUCAUGAUGGUGGAGCCGACUUGGGAAGGGUGACACGGUCGGGUGGCUUAGUGGUGGCCAGGGUUUGCAUGGGGGUUCGGUGUGGGAGUAUGGGUCCAAACAGGCCAUUGGUGACCCGAUUGGGAGGUUGCAUGGGACUAGGGUUUCGUCGUUGAUAGGUUUUGAAUGCGUGAUUGGAUGUGGUUGUAAUCAUGGUUGUAGAAAUCGAUAGUUGCUAGUUUUGCCGGUGGGGUGGGGACCAUCAACCUAGCUUACAUACGAAUAGUGUGCCCAAAUUGAAAAUCUUGAUUUACAAAAUUGAAAUGCUCACUUACAUAUUAUGAGCUGAUCAUAUGAAUAAUCCAGUGGUAUUAUAUAAUUUUGUCAAAAAAAUUGUAAAAUAAUGAAGCCAUUUGGUUUUUUUAGAAACUUAAAAAACGUAAGUAUGUCAAUUACAAUUUGCAUUUUAGUAGCAAUAAGAAGACUAUGGAUAGCCGCGAGUGGUUAAGGAAGCAGAUGAUAUCAUGAAGCGUUCUGACUGGCGCAAUGAUCCUAAUGAUCUAAAAGAUUUGACAACGGUUGAGAAAAAAAAUUCGGUUUCUUUGUUACCUCUUCCUCUCUCAUCUGCCAACUGACAGGGAAAUGAGAAUGCAACCGGGACAAUGCUAGCAAAGAAGUUGAAAGCUAUGACACCAUGCGUCAGCCUAGAUAUGAUAUGUCCGGUUACACCCCUAUCAACUCUUUUAGAGGCUUAAAUAUGGAGCUUGAGUGUGAUGACAAUAGCGGUAUCUCGCGACAAGACAUGAUUGCUAUUAUGUGUUUUAUUCACUCAUGGGAGACGCCUACAAUUUCGAAAACGUUUCUGAGGGUGAUGUGUGUUUGAUGAAUGUGGGAUUACACCCCUAGUUUCUAGGGGGUGGGGGUGCACUUUUUUGUGCAUGAUAAAGUUUUCCACGCGUGGAAAAUGUAAACAAACCACCGCCACCCUACAAAAUUAACGAGUGAUACAUGGAUUCCGUUAUUUUUUUCACGCGUGAUGGAAGGAAUGAUGUGAGGGGGUGUGAGGGUUUAUCGUUGGGUGUUGUGAGUGAUGGACAUUUCCACUAAAAAAAGGUUGUGAGUGAUGGAAUAAUGGUUGAUGACAUGGUGAAAAUUGAUUGGAUGUUGUGACUUGUGAGUGAUAAGUGAUCACCACCCCCUCCCCCUAAAUCUUCCACCAUGGUACUCUAAUGAUAUUUCCAAGGGACUAUGAACCUGUUUAUGGUACAGUAAAAGAUUUUAUAUUCGAUGGUAUAUUUUAUGCGACU